GGCACCUUUCGUACCUGGAGCUUGUUUUAUCGGCCAGAAGCCAUGAGGUGUGACAGCUCUGGUACCUGCUAAAGCAGCUCAGAGAUGGCUGAAGAGUCUCCCGCAAAGCAUUGGCACUGGUUUCAGGAACGGAGGUCACAGUGAUGGUCAAGGUGCCCUGAGCCCUUAUUCUGUUCAAUUGUAUUCCUCGUCUCCAUCAAUCCGUGCAACAGCCUUUCAGAUAGAUACCGUUACUGACCCAUUUGACAGAUGUGGAAACUGAGGUCACGCCUCUAUCAAAGGAGAGCCGGGAUUUGAACAAAGUGCCCUGAUUUCAGCACCACGCUUCGAACCACGGCACCCUACAGUCUGACACCCAGCUGGCCUGAGACUCCGUGGGAAGUGCUUUAGGGAAGAGGUGGAUGUGUCACUCCCCUCUCUGAGCCUUCAUUCCCUGAGGCCCGCAAAACAGGGGUGAAGCACGAAGCUCACCUCAGCUGGGUUGUCCGUUUGGGGGAUAAAAUGAGAUAAUCCAAGUGACCUGUCCAGCAAGAAGCCUGGAAUCCAGAAAGGGAUUUUUUAACUCAAGGAUGAAUGAAUAAAUAAAGGAGCUUUAUAGAUGUUA